rnacentral:misc_RNA from 1 species
GAUGAAAACGUAGCGAAAUGCGAUAAGUAAUGUGAAUUGCAGAAUUCAGUGAAUCAUCGAAUCUUUGAACGCACAUUGCGCCCGCCAGUAUUCUGGCGGGCAUGCCUGUUCGAGCGUCAUUUCAACCAUCAAGCCCUGCUUGCGUUGGGGUCCUGCGGCUGCCCGCAGGCCCUGAAAACCAGUGGCGGGCUCGCUAGUCACACCGAGCGCAGUAAUACAUCUCGCUUUGGGCGUGCGGCGGGUUCUUGCCGUUAAACACCCCCUUUUUACCAAGGUUGACCUCGGAUCAGGUAGGAAUACCCGCUGAACUUAAGCAUAUCAAUAAGCGGAGGA